AAUUUAUUUAAUGUUUACUGGACGUUAUGGACUGAAUUGUGCACCGCGAAAUUCAUAUUUCGAAUUCAUAUUCAUGUUUUCAAGCCCUGACCUGUAAUGUGACUGCAUAUGGAGUCAGGGCCUUGCAGGAGGGGAUUCAGGCACAGAGGAAAGGCGGUGUGAGGACACAGCAGGAAGGCGGCCGUCUGCAAGCCAGGAGAGAGGCCUCAUCGGAAAACCACCCAGCUGGCACCUUGGCUGGACCUGCCGACCUCCUGAACGGUGCUGGCCUCCAGCCUGGAUUCCUAUUCUGAGAUGCUCUUCAGGCACCGGAAGUCUGCCCUGCCUUCCUGGGCAGCUCCAGUUUUCUGAGUCUAGACGCCUUUUGCUCUGGUGUUGAAUUUUUCUGCUUGCCCCUGGACUGGGAGCCUGGGGGCAAGGAAGAGGCCCGACUGCCACCUGAGCCCCAGUGUUGCCCAGGCUUUCUCGGUGAGCGUGUGCUGAAGGGAUGAGCCGUCAGGCUGGGCUCCAGUUCCCCAGGGCAAGGUGGGUGGCGGCACCCUCCGAUGCGUGACAGGCUCUGGAGGCAGCAGCACCCGUGGGCACCUUGUUUGAGGAAGAGCAUGAUACUGCUUCUGAAACGCUACCUACCCUGCCACCAAGACCCAGUGUUCCCUGAAGGUGGCCAAUGCAGCCCUCACGUCAGACCCUGGGGACCACAAGGCCCUCCAGGCCCCUAGCCCAGCCUGCGCCAAGGAAGUGAGCAUGGGGACCCAGGUCGAGGAGCCUCAGUGAGCUGGGCCCACUGCUCUCCUAGGGCCCAGGGACCUGAGGAGGGCAGCCCUGCAGUGAUUUGGGGGAAACCAUCCUGAGAUCAUGAGUGCUGACCCAAAAGGGGGGCAGGGCAGGGAGAAUGGUGGGGCCUAGGUCAGGGCUCAAGUCCAGCUCGGCCACUCCGAGGCUUUGUGACCAGGGACAACUCACUCAGCCUCUCUGUGCGUCAGCUCCCCCCUUGGUGACACUGGGAUAAUACUAGUCCCUACACGAACACUUACUGGGAGUACGCAGAUGGCAAACCUGUGAAGUUCUUAUGCUAGCAACGGGUCCAUGGGAAGGACUCAAUAAAAAUUAGCCUCAUUAUUAAAUUUCAACAUGACAAUUGUGACAAUUUGGCUUCUCCUUGUUGUCACAGGUAAUGACACAGAACAGAACAUUUAUAGCUGGUGAAGCCAGGCAGUGUUGCACAGACAACAUUCGGGAGGGUGUCACCAUGCCCUCCUCCACUCCUGGCUCCUCAGUGGAGGCGGGGAGCCAGCAGACCCACAGGGCCCGGUGGGCCGUGGGGAGGGCCAUGGCCCGGGAGGCCACGGCACGCACUGGGCUACCAGCCUCUGCAGCCCUUUCACUUCAGUUUGGAAGAGCUGCCUAUUGCUCCAGAUGAGAAAGCUCCCCACGUUCCUGAGCCGACAGUGUGUGGAAACGCAGCAGUCAUGUCCAGAAGGGGCCUGUGAGGCCCUGAGCACCCUGUCUCCAUGUCUGGGCCAUUCCUCCUUUGCACAUUACCCACAGUCGCAGAGCACAACUGUCCAGGGCAAAAGCAAGGUCCCUGUCCCAUGCGGAGCAAGC